rnacentral:rRNA from 1 species
GAUCAUGGCUCAGGAUGAACGCUAGCUACAGGCUUAACACAUGCAAGUCGAGGGGCAGCAUGAACUUAGCUUGCUAAGUUUGCCGGCGACCGGCGCACGGGUGAGUAACACGUAUCCAACCUUCCCGUUACUCUGGAAUAGCCUUUCGAAAGAAAGAUUAAUACCGGAUAGUAUCGAGAGAUUGCAUGAUUACCCGAUUAAAGAUUCAUCGGUAACGGAUGGGGAUGCGUUCCAUUAGGCAG